rnacentral:rRNA from 1 species
AUUGAACGCUGGCGGCAGGCCUAACACAUGCAAGUCGAGUGAGAGGCGGACGGGUGAGUAAUGUCUGGGAAACUGCCUGAUGGAGGGGGAUAACUACUGGAAACGGUAGAUAAUACCGCAUACUAUCAGAUGUGCCCAGAUGGGAUUAGCGAGUAGGUGGGGUAACGGCUCACCUAGGGGACGAUCCAUAUCUGGUCUGCGAGGAUGACCUUCCACACUGGAACUGAGACACGGUCCAGACGCGUACGGGAGGCAGCAGUGGGGAAUAUUGGACAAUGGGCGCAAGCCUGAUGCAGCCAGGCCGCGUGUGUGAAGAAGGCCGUCGGGUUGUAAAGCACUUUCAGCGGGGAGGCGUUACCCGCAGAAGAAGCACCGGCUAACUCCGUGCCAGCAGCCGCGGUAAUAC